rnacentral:misc_RNA from 1 species
UACGGAGGUGGCAAGCGUUGUCCGGAAUUAUUGGGCGUAAAGCGCGCGUAGGCGGCCAAGUAAGCCGGUUGUGAAAGCCCCGGGCUCAACCUGGGAACUGCAUCCGAAACUGGCAGGCUAGAGUCUUGUAGAGGGGGGUAGAAUUCCAGGUGUAGCGGUGAAAUGCGUAGAGAUCUGGAGGAAUACCGGUGGCGAAGGCGGCCCCCUGGACAAAGACUGACGCUCAGGUGCGAAAGCGUGGGGAGCAAACAGG